AACGCACCUUGCACCCUUUGGUAUUCCGAAGGGUAUGCCUGUUUGAGUGUCAUUAAAUUCUCAAUCCUUUAAAGCUUUAUUGUUUUGAGGGUAUUGGAUGUGGAGGUUAUUGCUGGCUUUAUUUACAAAGUUGGCUCCUCUUAAAUGCAUUAGUGGCUUCUUUGAAGGAUCCCCAUACAAUGGUGUGAUAGUAUAUCUACAUCAUAUAAUGGCUAGGUCAUGUAAAAGACAAAGGAGUUGCUCUCUAACCGUCCUUCAUUGGACAACCUGAACCAUUUGACCUCAAAUCAGGUAGGACUACCCGCUGAACUUAA
rnacentral:misc_RNA from 1 species